rnacentral:misc_RNA from 1 species
GAACCUCAACCAGCCCAACCA